UCUGGCACCUUCGGGUGCCCGAGUUGUAAUUUGGAGAGGACGCCUUUGGGGCUGUCCCUGGCCUAUGGUCCUGGAAACGGGACUUCAUGAAGGGGGAAAAUCCCGCGGGGAUGGGGUGUCCGUUCCUUGGUGAGGGUCCUCCAACAAUCCAAUUG
rnacentral:rRNA from 1 species